UGACACCGAUUCGUUGCGGGAAAUCUCACUCGCUAAUCCUUUUGUAAUAUCCCCGGAGAUUACCCUUCGCCCACCUGUGCUUAUGAGUGAUGGUGGAGUGCAGUGUCGCCAACGAAGCGCCGUAACGCCCCGAGAUAGCGCCGAGAGAGAGAAGUGAAUAAUGCGAGGGGAUCCACGUCCUGCCAUCAGCUGAGCCCGGAGGCCUCGGGGACACGUAUUUAAACUCCUUCGCGGAGGAUAUUGUAUUUAAAUCUCCUUCACGAGGCGCAGGAGAGCUGCCGCCGCCCCCAGGAUCCCGCACGCCGCCCGCAGUGCCAAGGCCGCAGUGCCAAAGGAGCCCCUCGCAGUGCCAGGCUUUGGAGGAGGCGACUAAUCUCCUUACGUCAUGUACUGCAUCUUGAUUACGUCAUGAACAUUUAACCCGAGCCCAGGAAUAUCCGGGAUUGUUAUUUAUUAUUUAUUUCUGUAAUUAUUGUUACUAUCAUUACCGUUCUUUGUUCCGGUGCUGUGCUCGGGGGAAGAGAAAGGCGCUGGCGAGGCCUCUGAGCGUUUCGAAGGAAGCACUGUUUAACGAGGCGCGUUGGAGUUCGUCUGGAGUCGAAGUAUUGCCGAAGGGAGAGCGAACAAAAGGUAGCUGAUCGCCCGCCGACGCCGCGCAGAAGCCAGCCACCACCAUGGAGGACGGACACUGUUACGAGUUCGAGGAGGUCCUCUCCAAGUUCGCCGUCAAGCAGGACGUCGGCCUCAGCGAAGCCCAGGUCAAGGAGAACCAGGAGAAGUACGGACCCAACGAACUGCCAGCAGAAGAGGGCAAGUCUCUCCUGCAGCUGAUCUUGGAGCAGUUCGAUGACCUGCUUGUGAAGAUCCUGCUGCUGGCCGCCAUCAUCUCCUUCGUGUUGGCUUGCUUCGAGGAGGGCGAAGAGACCGUGACGGCCUUCGUGGAGCCCUUCGUCAUCCUUCUCAUCCUGAUCGCUAACGCCAUCGUCGGCGUGUGGCAGGAGCGCAAUGCCGAGUCCGCCAUCGAGGCCCUGAAGGAGUACGAGCCCGAGAUGGGCAAGGUCGUGCGCGCGAACAAGGCCGGCGUGCAGAAAAUCCGCGCCAAGGGCAUCGUCCCCGGCGACAUCGUCGAGAUCUCGGUUGGAGACAAGAUCCCCGCCGACUUGCGCCUGUGCAAGAUCUACUCAACGACCCUGCGUAUUGACCAGUCCAUUCUCACUGGAGAGUCAGUGUCUGUCAUCAAGCACACUGACCCCAUCCCUGACCCCAAGGCCGUCAACCAGGACAAGAAAAAUAUUCUCUUCUCUGGCACAAAUGUUGCUGCUGGCAAGGCUCGUGGUGUUGUCAUUGGCACUGGACUUAACACUGCUAUUGGUAAGAUCCGUACCCAGAUGGCUGAGACUGAGGAAAUCAAGACUCCUCUGCAGCAGAAGCUUGAUGAGUUCGGUGAGCAGCUGUCCAAGGUCAUCUCCAUUAUCUGCGUUGCUGUCUGGGCCAUCAACAUUGGACACUUCAAUGACCCUGCUCAUGGUGGUUCAUGGAUCAAGGGUGCUAUCUACUACUUCAAGAUUGCCGUUGCCCUGGCCGUAGCCGCUAUCCCUGAGGGUCUCCCUGCUGUCAUCACCACUUGCCUUGCCCUUGGCACACGCCGCAUGGCCAAGAAGAAUGCUAUUGUGAGGUCUUUGCCUUCUGUUGAGACUCUUGGUUGUACCUCUGUUAUCUGCUCAGACAAGACUGGCACACUCACCACCAACCAGAUGUCCGUCUCUCGCAUGUUCAUUAUGGAUAAGGUUGAGGGCAAUGACUGCUCUCUUCUGGAAUUCGAGAUCACUGGCUCCACCUACGAGCCCAUUGGUGACAUUUACCUUGGUGGUGCUAAGGUGAAGGGUGCUGACUUUGAAGGUCUGCAGGAACUCGCCACUGUUUCCUUCAUGUGCAAUGAUUCUUCUAUUGAUUUCAAUGAGUUCAAGAAUAUGUUUGAAAAGGUUGGUGAAGCCACUGAGACUGCUCUGAUUGUGUUGGGUGAGAAGAUCAACCCAUACAGCCAGUCCAAGGUUGGCCUGGAUCGUCGCUCGGCUGCCAUUGUUGCCAAGCAGGACAUGGAGACCAAGUGGAAGAAGGAAUUCACCCUGGAAUUCUCCCGUGACCGCAAAUCCAUGUCCUCCUACUGCGUGCCCCUCAAGCCCACUCGCCUGGGAACUGGACCCAAGAUGUUCUGCAAGGGUGCACCUGAAGGUGUUCUUGAACGCUGCACUCAUGUCCGUGUUGGUACCCAGAAGGUUCCCCUCACUGCUGGAGUCAGAGACAAGAUCUUGGCAGUAACCCGUGACUAUGGCUGUGGUCGUGACACUCUCCGUUGCUUGGGUCUUGCUACCAUUGACACUCCAAUGAAGCCUGAGGAUAUGGAUCUCGGUGACUCUACCAAGUUCUACACCUAUGAAGUCAACAUGACUUUCAUUGGUGUUGUUGGUAUGCUUGACCCACCCCGCAAGGAAGUGCGUGACUCCAUUGAGAAGUGUCGUGAGGCUGGUAUCCGUGUCAUUGUCAUCACUGGAGACAACAAGGCCACUGCUGAGGCUAUCUGCCGUCGCAUUGGCGUGUUCGGUGAAAAUGAGGAAACCGCAGGCAAGUCAUACUCUGGCCGUGAAUUUGAUGAGCUCAGUGUCGCAGAACAGAGACUUGCUUGCAUCAAUUCACGUCUCUUCUCCCGUGUCGAGCCUUUCCACAAAUCCAAGAUUGUUGAAUACCUGCAGGGAGAGGGUGAGAUCUCUGCCAUGACUGGUGAUGGUGUGAAUGAUGCCCCUGCUCUGAAGAAGGCUGAGAUUGGUAUUGCCAUGGGUUCAGGUACUGCUGUGGCCAAGUCUGCUUCUGAGAUGGUGCUUGCUGAUGACAACUUCUCCUCCAUUGUGGCUGCUGUUGAGGAAGGCCGUGCCAUCUACAACAACAUGAAGCAGUUCAUCCGUUACCUCAUUUCUUCCAACAUUGGUGAAGUGGUGUCCAUCUUCUUGACUGCUGCUCUUGGUCUCCCUGAAGCUCUCAUUCCUGUCCAGCUCUUGUGGGUCAACCUGGUUACUGAUGGUCUGCCUGCCACUGCUCUGGGCUUCAACCCCCCUGACCUCGACAUCAUGGAGAAGCCCCCUCGCAAGGCUGACGAGUCUCUCAUCUCUGGCUGGCUCUUCUUCCGCUACAUGGCUAUUGGUGGCUAUGUUGGCUGUGCCACUGUCUUUGCUGCCUCCUGGUGGUUCAUGUAUGACCCCACUGGCCCUCAGCUCAACUACUACCAACUGUCCCACCAUCUGUCCUGCUUGGGUGAUGAGAAGAACUUCGAAGGUCUGGAUUGCAACAUCUUCAGCCACCCAGCACCCAUGACCAUGGCUCUUUCCGUGCUUGUCACCAUUGAGAUGCUCAAUGCUCUUAACAGCUUGUCAGAGAACCAGUCACUAAUCGUGAUGCCCCCCUGGGUCAACAUCUGGCUGCUGGCGGCUAUGGCCCUCUCCAUGACCCUGCACUUCAUCAUCUUGUACAUUGAUAUCCUUAGUACUGUGUUCCAGGUGAUGCCCCUCACGACCGCACAGUGGAUAGCUGUAUUGAAGAUCUCCCUCCCUGUGGUGCUGUUGGAUGAGACCCUCAAGUUUGUUGCUCGCAAGUACACUGAUGGUGAGAAUCCAAUCUAUUCCUGCCACUGGACUGUGCUAGCCUGGGCUAUCUAUUUUGCCUAUAUCUGGAUAUACUUCUUCUAACCUCAGUCACCACCCUAACUUAUAUAUAUAUAUAUAUAUGUAUAAACACUGUCACGAAUCAGACUCUCAAGAUGUAGAAAACUAAAAGGGGUUUGAGGAACACUGUGGUCCAAGUGCAAAGAAUGUUUCCAUUAUCAGUAUUCCCUUUGGGUUGUAGGAUUUUGAGACAAUUCUCAGAUGUAGUGAACUUUUUGUUUAUUUGUUUUUAUUAUUAUUAUUAUUAUUAUUAUCAUCAUUAUUAUUUUUAUUAUUAUUUUUGGUGUUAAAUUUGGCCACUGUGCUCCCAGCCCCUGAUUAAGGUACAAGUGGGAAAAGACUCAGGGUGAGUGAUAGAAAGAAAGAACUGUUGUCAGCCCUCAACUCACAGUGUGGGUUUGUUCAUGCUGCCACUUCGGCUGCCAAAUUGCCAGUGCCCUUUACUGCUGUUGCCACUGCUGUUUGCUUAGCGGGGGGCUGUAUGUCAGCGUCAGUGUACAUAAAAGUGACGUGCUGAAUGUGUUUAGGCAUAUGACCACAAGCCAUUAACAUUAGUGGAGUAUUGCACGACCAAAGUUGUCGAGAGCCAAAGCAGAGAGCACCUUCACUUGCAAGGGAAGUCCUGCUCCGGUUCUGUCCCAUCCACUGAGGAUGACUUAACUUAUUUUGCCUUGAGAUGCAGGCUUCAAGACAUGUUGUUUAAUUGAUUGCUUGAAGUCGUAAUGAAUGCUGCCAUGUUAGGGAUAGGCAGUUUUUUAUCAUUAUUAUUAUUAUUAUUAUUAUCAUUAUUAUUAUUAUUAUUAUUAUUAUUAUCAUCAUCAUCGUUAUUAUUCACUGUCUGGGUGAGUGCAGAUACAAGUUUUAUUGGUAAGAAAAGUUUAAAAAUUUAGAUGUUUAAAUAUAUAUAUUUUAUGGUUGUUAAACAAUAAACAAAAUUGCAUUUGUAGGCUACCUAUAGUGAGAAGUGAAAUAUUGUUUGAAAUUUAACCUGUGCCUUUAUUUAGUUUGAUGCCAUCUGGUUCCCGGCCUCCUCCUUUUCCUCCCAGCAUGUGCCUGGAUGAGAACUUGUGGAUGGUUCAAGUUUUUGUAGAGUAUUUGAUUAAAAUUACAGUAUUCCCUAGUUGUGUGUGAUGUAAAGAUCAUUGACUGCAACUGGUAAUAACAUGUGGAUAUGUGCAAUGGAUAAUGUAAGUCUUCUUUUUAUCAUUCUCAUGACACGUAUGGAGUACAUGAACCCUAUGGUGCAUUAGUGAAUUCUUGCGGGUACCCAGUUUGAUGCUGCACAUGCAGAGUCUCCCUCUCCACAACAAGUAGAUGUUUCUUCACUGUUACUGCAAACACUUUAGGGUGUAUCAAGGUUCUAAGCAGCUAAAGCAUUAAAGAGAAUGCUGCAUUGCAAUAAUUCUCAGUAUUUUUGUUAGUUGGUUUGACUGUAAUCAAAGGGCAAGGUUUUUAGUUGUUUCUGCCGGAGAGCAUGUGAUUUUUCCCAUCCACCAUUACCCAUUGCAUACAUGGAACCUGCUGUGUAAAAAUCCACUAUUUAAGGACUGUGAGUUGUUUGCAUGGCAUAAUUGGUUCUUUGACAUUGAAAUAAAUCUAUCCUCUUUCCCCCUUUAUUUAUUAUUCCAGGUCAUUUUUUUUAACUGUUCAGUAACCUGUAAUAUCCAAAGACCCACAAACCUUACUCUUGCUAAAAAAAAAUUCUUAGUAUUGUUCCUCAUUAAACCAAGUUGACCACUUUUUAUUUUAUCAUAUUGUAACACUGUAUAUAAUGUUUAGGGAAGUGUGUGGAUACUUCAGUUAUUGAAAAAAUAGGAUCCAUAUCAUAGUUAGAUCCUUCAGUAUUAUUACCCUUGCUGUAUGAAUACUGUAUUAAGAAAGCAAUAUCCUCAAUGUUAGAAAUCCAUAUAUAUGAGUGUCACUACCAGCAAAUGCAAGUGUUUACCAAGCUGUGUCCUGUUUGACAUAACAGUAGAACAUUCUUGAAGGUUCCCAGAUACUUCCACCUGUAAUCACUGACACAAUCAUAUGUGGAGGCCUGGAACCCUUCCCAGCCACAGCUCCCACUACUACUACUACUACUACUACUUCUUGUACUACUACUACUGUUACCACCAAACUACCACUGAAUCCUCCACCUCCACCUGAAAGCCCCAGAAACCACAGGGCGUAAAUGGAAAUCCAGACCACCAUACCCACCAAUGAACUCCCUUCAACUUUACCUCCUUCUCCAACCACCUUUCGGGGUCGAGGUCCUGAAGACUGCAGUGUUUGUGUGUGUGGUCGAAACCCAGUGAAGAGGAACUGCGACUCUCUCUCUCCCAUGGUUUUUCUUUUUCCCUUUUCGUUUCCAACAAGUCUUCUUUCAUUUCCCUCCCGCCCUUCAUCUUAAACUUCUCCGACUGGCCCCCCUUUCCACUUUUCUUCCUUUCUUCUCUCAUUUACUGCAACCCCUGAAUCCUGUUCCUGCUCUGCAAACCCCCAAGACACUCACACCAACACAACUGUUUCCUGGAAGGAAAAAAAUGAACACACAAAGCAAUAUUUGGCCUCUUUGGUUGCCGACAUGUCUCCUGCUGUGUCCAUGUAAGAAAAAAUCUCCAGCAAGAAGCAUAUCACGGCCGUCGCAAGGAAUCCGAUGGCAUCUGACUCGACUACUACUACAAUAGUUCUAGAAUUUCAUUUUCUUUACUUUUUAACGUCUUCUAACUCUAACUCUAAUUUAUUCUUUUUAUUUUCUUUCUUUCAGUAGAUGUAGAUAUUUACUUGGUAGUAGUAAUAGCAGCAACUAGUCACCUAACCCUGUUUUUUUCUCUUCUUGAUUAGUCACUAAUAUACUGUGGCUGUUCAUUACAGUACCUGCCAGGAUUGAGCAAAAAUGGUAAAAUCAAGAGGUACCAUCUACUCCAGCUUUUCCAAUGUCCUCACAGCCAGUAGCCUUAGCUGUAUUAACCUACAAGCCGUCAGUGCCAUGCCUGUGAUGAGCCCAGCACCACCCCACCAUGGCCACUGUACCUAGGGGUGCUAGUCAGCAGCUUAGAGGAACUUUCCAUCUCCAUUGCUGAUGUCCAGAAUUCCUAAGGAACAGUAGCCAUGGGCAUUGGAGGGGCAGAAGCAGACGGCGGUGGUGUGCGAGGUCCUUCACCUCCAACAGAGAUCUCAGCCUCCCCCUGCUGUGCCUUGGCACUCUCUGUCCAUAAGAAUCUGCACAUCAGUAUUACUACACCAUGCAGGGGGGGUUCACCCAUUGGCCCACCACCUUGCCAACAUUCUCCAUCCAAUGGAUGACAUAUAGAGGAUGAAUAUGUACAUUUACUUAUGUUGUAAUUUGAUUUAGAAAAACUAGAAUAUUUUGAUUCCCUUGUUGAAAUAAACUGUUAGCUAACUGCUCUUGGGCAAACAUUGCCAAAAGUCACACUAAGUGUGUUGUGUCCUGUGUCUGUGCUCAUGUCAAACUGCCCAACAGAGAGCAAUGUACGACCAUACAAACAUCCACUUGUUUCUGUGCAAAGAUGUGGUACAAUUUUGUACCUCAUUUUGUACAUGCCACUCAUUUAUUGUUGAUGAUAGAAUAAAUAAUAAAAAAGACCUCAC